CGGACGGGUGAGUAACACGUGGAUAACCUACCUAUAAGACUGGGAUAACUUCGGGAAACCGGAGCUAAUACCGGAUAAUAUUUUGAACCGCAUGGUUCAAAAGUGAAAGACGGUCUUGCUGUCACUUAUAGAUGGAUCCGCGCUGCAUUAGCUAGUUGGUAAGGUAACGGCUUACCAAGGCAACGAUGCAUAGCCGACCUGAGAGGGUGAUCGGCCACACUGGAACUGAGACACGGUCCAGACUCCUACGGGAGGCAGCAGUAGGGAAUCUUCCGCAAUGGGCGAAAGCCUGACGAAGCAACGCCGCGUGAGUGAUGAAGGUCUUCGGAUCGUAAAACUCUGUUAUUAGGGAAGAACAUAUGUGUAAGUAACUGUGCACAUCUUGACGGUACCUAAUCAGAAAGCCACGGCUAACUACGUGCCAGCAGCCGCGGUAAUACGUAGGUGGCAAGCGUUAUCCGGAAUUAUUGGGCGUAAAGCGCGCGUAGGCGGUUUUUUAAGUCUGAUGUGAAAGCCCACGGCUCAACCGUGGAGGGUCAUUGGAAACUGGAAAACUUGAGUGCAGAAGAGGAAAGUGGAAUUCCAUGUGUAGCGGUGAAAUGCGCAGAGAUAUGGAGGAACACCAGUGGCGAAGGCGACUUUCUGGUCUGUAACUGACGCUGAUGUGCGAAAGCGUGGGGAUCAAACAGGAUUAGAUACCCUGGUAGUCCACGCCGUAAACGAUGAGUGCUAAGUGUUAGGGGGUUUCCGCCCCUUAGUGCUGCAGCUAACGCAUUAAGCACUCCGCCUGGGGAGUACGACCGCAAGGUUGAAACUCAAAGGAAUUGACGGGGACCCGCACAAGCGGUGGAGCAUGUGGUUUAAUUCGAAGCAACGCGAAGAACCUUACCAAAUCUUGACAUCCUUUGACAACUCUAGAGAUAGAGCUUUCCCCUUCGGGGGACAAAGUGACAGGUGGUGCAUGGUUGUCGUCAGCUCGUGUCGUGAGAUGUUGGGUUAAGUCCCGCAACGAGCGCAACCCUUAAGCUUAGUUGCCAUCAUUAAGUUGGGCACUCUAAGUUGACUGCCGGUGACAAACCGGAGGAAGGUGGGGAUGACGUCAAAUCAUCAUGCCCCUUAUGAUUUGGGCUACACACGUGCUACAAUGGACAAUACAAAGGGCAGCGAAACCGUGAGGUCAAGCAAAUCCCAUAAAGUUGUUCUCAGUUCGGAUUGUAGUCUGCAACUCGACUACAUGAAGCUGGAAUCGCUAGUAAUCGUAGAUCAGCAUGCUACGGUGAAUACGUUCCCGGGUCUUGUACACACCGCCCGUCACACCACGAGAGUUUGUAACACCCGAAGCCGGUGGAGUAACCUUUUAGGAGCUAGCCGUCGAAGGUGGGACAAAUGAUUGGGGUGAAGUCGUAACAAGGUAGCCGUAUCGGAAGGUGCGGCUGGAUCACCU
rnacentral:rRNA from 1 species